rnacentral:lncRNA from 1 species
UCACCUCACGUGGGCAAAAACCUUGAACUCGGCCAAUCAGAGCGAGGUGCUGCAGCUUCCUUAGUAACUGCAGUAGCAACGACAACUUUCCCUGAGCGCUGAAAUAACCCGCUUCAGUUAUAUUAACUCAGUCUGACAGCUCUACUACUCUCAUUAUUCACAAUAAUAAUAAUAUCUGAAGUGUAUGUUCAUCAGCGAGGCGCUGCUUUAUUCGUUUUAAACGCUGGAACGUCGCUUUAACCGCAGCUGACCGUCUGAAGCAAUUUCGCUAAAUCUUCCUUAACUAACGAUAUUCAACAGACCUGGAGUUUUUUCCGAGUUUCUACCGGCUGAAUGUGAGUGAAAUCCUUCAAUGUAGUGCCUGAGUCUCACAGAAACAUGGAGGAUAAGGGUGCAGUGAGGAAGAAUAAGCUACCUAAGAUACCGGAAAGCUCUGUGCAUUUCCUGCCGCAGCUUCCAAAGGUGAGACAGUGUUGUUGUUUAGUAAAAUUCACUAUAAACAUAUGCCUGAACUGUCCACUAGAACAGUCUUUGUGUUCUCAUACUGAUGUUUUCUUACACUCAGGCUCGUGCAAAGCCUCUGUGGCAAGAUGCCACCCCUACCUUCAGCCUGCAGGUGCCAGCCAAUGAAGAAACGAGCGAUUAUGGAGUGCCCCGAAAGAUUUCCAGACACACGCUUGGAGGGGUUGUGUGGCAUGGUCAGUCUCCCAGACAUCGCAGCAGCAUCAAGCACAAUAAAGACCGAGAACACUUCCGCCGCACUCUCGUCAGCCUCAUCAUGGAGCAAGAGCCUUCGACUAGUAUGACCAUCCCAGAUGACAGCUCACCACCCACUUGUGGUUCACCCACUCUCACUGAAAAGGACAUUUUGGUAAGGAGCUGCUGCUUUCACCUUAUGAUCCCUGGUAAAUAUGAACAUGUGGCAUUUAGCUCUACAAAAUAUUGAAAUUUUUCACACCAUUCUAAAACUAAUUAUAGAGCAGGGUGGGUAAAGUAUGUACAUGACUUCUUGUGUAAAUAAUUGAGAUUGAGAUCCUGGUCUUAGAACUAUGGCUGAGCAGUAUUGAAAAAAAAUAUCUCAAUAUUAUAGCAUUCAUUUUUUUAUUUUUCUGCCAAAAUAGUAACAAAGAACACUAUUUAGAGCUAUCAAGUAUGCAUUGUUUUUUUUUUACAUUCAUGUUCAAGGGUGUCAAAACUGUGCAAACACAAUAAAAGCUGUAUAAAACCAACA